AACGAACGCUGGCGGCAUGCCUAACACAUGCAAGUCGAACGAGAUCCUUCGGGGUCUAGUGGCGCACGGGUGCGUAACGCGUGGGAAUCUGCCCUUAGGUUCGGAAUAACAGUUAGAAAUGACUGCUAAUACCGGAUGAUGACGUUAAGUCCAAAGAUUUAUCGCCUGAGGAUGAGCCCGCGUAGGAUUAGCUAGUUGGUGUGGUAAAGGCGCACCAAGGCGACGAUCCUUAGCUGGUCUGAGGGGAUGAUCAGCCACACUGGGACUGAGACACGGCCCAGACUCCUACGGGAGGCAGCAGUGGGGAAUAUUGGACAAUGGGCGCAAGCCUGAUCCAGCAAUGCCGCGUGAGUGAUGAAGGCCUUAGGGUUGUAAAGCUCUUUUACCCGGGAUGAUAAUGACAGUACCGGGAGAAUAAGCCCCGGCUAACUCCGUG
rnacentral:rRNA from 1 species